rnacentral:rRNA from 1 species
UACAGAGGGUGCGAGCGUUAAUCGGAAUUACUGGGCGUAAAGGGCGCGUAGGCGGUUUGCUAAGUUGAAUGUGAAAACUCUGGGCUUAACCCAGAGCCUGCAUUCAAUACUGGCAGGCUAGAGUUCUGGAGGGGAUAGCGGAAUUCCUGGUGUAGCGGUGAAAUGCGUAGAUAUCAGGAGGAACACCGGUGGCGAAGGCGGCUAUCUGGACAGAGUCUGACGCUGAGGCGCGAAAGCUAGGGGAGCAAACAGG